CCUACGGGAGGCAGCAGUGGGGAAUAUUGCACAAUGGGCGAAAGCCUGAUGCAGCGACGCCGCGUGAGCGAAGAAGUAUUUCGGUAUGUAAAGCUCUAUCAGCAGGGAAGAUAAUGACGGUACCUGACUAAGAAGCACCGGCUAAAUACGUGCCAGCAGCCGCGGUAAUA
rnacentral:rRNA from 1 species